CCGGGCGCCGUGUUCGGGUCCGGUGGGACAUAGGGGGCGUCGGCUCUCCUUUACCGACGCAGCUCAUGCCCAGAUCGCUUUAGGAGGAUUUGGAAAUGAGAA
rnacentral:sRNA from 1 species